GAUUCUGUGUCUCCCUCUCUCUGCCCCUCCGCUGCUCACACUCUGUCUCUCUCUCCUUCAAAAAUAAAUAAACAUUUUAAAAAAUUAAAUAUAAAAUAUCUAUUAUGCUAUCAUGGUUAAAGUUGUGUUAGUUUUAUAAUCUAUUCUACACGCAUUCCCCUUUUUUCAUUCUGAUGUCAAGAAAAGAUAAAAUAUAUAUCCCAUAAUUAUGCAUAUUAAAUUAUAAACACAGAAUAGAUUUCUUCUGAAAUUGUAUUCUGCUUUACAAGCAGACUUCAUUCAGCUAAAGCACUGGAAGUCAUCACAUUUUUUUUUUUUUUUUUGCCUUUGUUCCUAAAUUUAAUUUAGGUUGAUGUUUAUAGGUCACUUUGAUAAGAACUCAUAUGUUAUUUUUUCAAAAACUGAAAAAGAAUGGAAGUUGUGUUUUUUCUUAGAAUCACCUUAUACCUCUAAUAUGCAUUAGUUGUCAUUAAAUGUCGAUUUACAGCUCUGUAUUAUUUUUCAAUAAGGAAGAAUCAUUGGGUGAAAAUUUAAAUGCUGGCCUACAGAGAUUACAAAAAAAAAAUCCCCAGACAUCUUUUUGAAUAGAAAGAUAGCCAUUUUAAUUUGCUAGUUUGGGUGAUUUUAGCAAUACAGUGCUGUGUGUAGGAAAAGUACAUGCUAUAGCCAAACAGGACUUAAUAUGAAUGUUUAUUUCAGCAUGGGUUCACAGUCAAUACCACUGAUUUUUAUAGCUGUCUAAGUUAUACUUUUCCUAUGGGUAUGCUAUAUUGAUUUAGUGGAAAACAAAAUUUCCAUUUUAGUGGAAAACAAAUAGAGUAAAGGUAAAAACAAAACCAAAAACAUUAUUGACCAGUAAACAGGGGAAUUAGCCUAGUCUUCUAGAGUUCUUCCCCAAUCAUGCCAUUAAUUUCUAUAAACUUAGUUGAAGAAAGUUUUCAGGGUACCUUGAAUUAUAUAUUCAUUGAACAAACACAUUGGGCAUCUUUAUGUGCCAAGCAUUCAUUUUGCGAAAUGCUCUUAAGGAACUCAGUGUAAUUGGGGAGAGAUAUAAAUAAAUAGACAUUUUUAAUAAGCUUCUAGUGGAAAUGAGUUUAGGGUACUAUAAGAGAAUAUGGAAAAUAAUGUACCUAAUAAAUAAUGUGGGGGAGAUGAAUUGUCAGAGAGGACCUAUUUCACUUGUCUCUUCUGGCUUUUAUAGAAAGAACAGUUUAGUAUUAACUGUUCUUUUUCCUAAGUGCCAAACCAUAUGAAAUUAAAAUUAGGGCAGAUUUUGCUUACUUUGUACAUUUUGAUUCACCAUCAUCCCUAGAUAUUUUGAAAAGUUAUAUUAAAUUUCCAAGAAAUUGGCUUUAAUCAUGGGUAAGACUGCUUAAAUGUGCAAACAUAUCUGGAAUGCUUUCAAAAUAUUUUUUCACAAGUGAGUGUUUUAUGUUUAAACACUUAGACACCUGGUCUCACCACCUUUUAAUGUGCCAGAUGUAAGAUCUUUCCCAGAUCUGAAAUGCUUGUGUUUUUAAGAGUAAGUAGACUUAAGAAAUAAAAAACCAAUAUAGGAGACUUCAUUUUAUUUGUAAGAUGGAUGUUAAAGCAAGUUGACAAAUAACAUUAAAAAAAUUUUUUUUGUUGUUGCCCCUCAGCAGGUAUCAAAUCUUCUUCAUUUCUUCAUUCAAUAAAUAUUGGGUAUUUUUGCCAUAUGCCAGGUGGUGUUCUAGGCAUUGGAACUAUAGAUCUAUUUUUACUACUAGCAUUAUUUGAGACUCAUCUGUACAGGGUUCUGUUAUAAUCAACAAAUACCCAAUUAUAUGUUCAUGGUGAGGCAAGGUUUAUAGAAUUCUGUCAUACUUCCAUAUGUUUUAUUCAGUGUGGUUGUUGGAUCAGUUCUUUAUUAUUGUGAACAGCUUUUUUGUUUGUUUGUUUUCUUAACCUAACAGCAAAAAGAUAGAGCAGUUGGAGGAAUCAAAACUUGAAAUACACAGAGCUCCAAAGACAUAUGUAACAGAAUCCUUAAGGAAAGGAAGGCCAAGGAGUUAAUUAGUAUAAGAAGAAGCAAGUUCUGACCCUGGAUUCAUUUUUCUUCUGCAUUAGUGUAUCACUUAUACUUAAAAAAAAAAAAAUGUUAGUGGUUGCCUCAGAGUUUGUAAUACACAUUUACAACUAAUACAAGUUCCACUUUCAAAUAACACUAGAUAGCCACACAACAGUCAUAAUAGACAUACAUAAUAGUAUGUCAUAAUAGAAUAUUCCAAAUUCCUUCCUGCCGUCUCUUAUGACAUUGCUGUUAUUCAUCUCACUUGUCCAUAUAAACCGUAAUCACCAAAUACAUUAUUACCAUAAUUAUUUUGAGCAAACUGUUAUUGUUAGAUCAGUUAAGAUAAAAAAAGGAAUUUUAGAGAGAAGAGGGGUUUUGAUCAUUGCUCAUGUACCCAGAAACCUGGAACCUGAUCUGUUCUGGAGAUCAGCUAACAAUUAAAAGAGAAAUGAAGAGUGGUGAUUUAGAAGAUAAGUUAUACUAUAAUAUGUAAAAGCAGAUACAGUCUGAUAAGAAAUAUAUUUUAAUAGUAUAUAUGUCUUAGAAAACCCAGUAGGAAUUUAUCAUACAAGUCAACUGAAGGAUGAUAAUAUCACUUAUUUUACUAACAAGAUUUUACAAAAUUUUUUUUCUCUUCCCAUCACUUGCUCCUGCACUAUUUUCUAAUAUACAAUCCUGGGUGGAUUAAAGAAUGGGAUAUAUGAUCUAUUUUCACAAAUUCAUUACAGAGAUCUGUAGGCCCAGACCUCUGGGUAUACAUUUCACAUGGAGUUUUGGAAUAAUAUAGAGGUUAUUUUUCUUGCUCUGAAGGAAUACAGAAGUUUGGAAUGAGACAGAAAAUAUAUUUCACAAAGUUAAGACUUUUAUUUUUAUAAGCAUCUACUUAUUCUAGAAGUUUAUAUUUGGCCAAAUUCCUAGUUUUAAAACAGAAGAUAGGGAACAGAAUCUAAUUACAAUAAAUGUUUGGGUCAUUCUUAAAGACCUAAUGCUCUUCCAAAUUCUCAUUAACCUGGUCUUUGGGGGGGGAAGGGUAUAGGAAAGAUGCAUUAGUUACUGAGCUUCUUUCUUGAUCUUUCUUCACAGAUAGAUUAAUUUGGGGUAUAAUUACUCUAGAUUUUAGAAAAAUUAUUAAGGAGAAACUGGUGGACAUUUCUGGGAAAAUAAUUUCAGGGAAAAAAUCAAUUUAAAAAAGAAUACUAGCUCUGACUUCUGCGUUAUCUCAUGAAAUUUUAAUGUAUCAUUUGAUCGAUUCCUAAUAUCACCCUUAAAGGAAACUAAUCGAACAGUCCCAAGAUUUGUAGACUAUAAAAUCCAAAUGUAUACUGCACUUUAUGAUAGAAAAGGCAUUUAAUCAAAGCCUCAUAAGAGUUAGCAUUCCUUAGCAUUACCUGUAUAUGUAAUUUAUUAUGAGG